rnacentral:misc_RNA from 1 species
GGGCACAUAUGGUUAUGCUGCUCCAGAAUAUGUUGAAACUGGUCAUCUAUAUGUAAAAAGUGAUGUUUACGGAUUUGGAGUGGUCGUGCUUGAGUUGCUGACUGGUUUACGAGCCCUCGACACCAAAAGACCAAACAGACAAGAGAAAUUGGUGGACUGGGUGAAACCGAUGCUGUCUAACAAAAGGAAGCUGAAGUCCAUUAUGGAUGCUCGGAUGGAAGGCCAAUAUUCUUCAAAAGCAGCAACCCUUGCUGCUCAGAUUACUCUAAAAUGUCUAGAGGUAGACCCAAAGAAUCGACCUUCAAUGAAAGAAGUAAUGAACGUGUUGGAACAGAUCGAAGCCAUGAAGGAGAAUCCAAAAGAAUCGAAAAGCAAAUCCGAGCAUUCUUCAUCUCAUCGUCACAGACAAUCUCCAAGAAGUCGACAAUCACCUCGUCAGACAAACGGCCAAGGAUUCAGGUCAGGAUCUGGAAAAUGACAAGUAGAAAUUGGCCUUUUAUAGCUAUGUGUGUAUAAAUUUCAUUCUUUUCUCAUUUAGUACAAGAUCAAGUUAAUAUUGUUCAUCAUAAUUUUUUCAUCUACAAUUUUGUAUUGUAUGUCACUUCUGUGUAUUGCAUGGCACCACUGUUAUUGUAAUUUAU